GACGAACGCUGGCGGCGUGCUUAACACAUGCAAGUCGAACGGAAAGGCCCUGCUUUUGUGGGGUGCUCGCGUGGCGAACGGGUGAGUAACACGUGAGUAACCUGCCCUUGACUUUGGGAUAACUUCAGGAAACUGGGGCUAAUACCGGAUAGGAGCUCCUGCUGCAUGGUGGGGGUUGGAAAGUUUCGGCGGUUGGGGAUGGACUCGCGGCUUAUCAGCUUGUUGGUGGGGUAGUGGCUUACCAAGGCUUUGACGGGUAGCCGGCCUGAGAGGGUGACCGGCCACAUUGGGACUGAGAGACGGCCCAGACUCCUACGGGAGGCAGCAGGGGGGAAUAUUGCACAAUGGGCGGAAGCCUGAUGCAGCAACGCCGCGUGCGGGAUGACGGCCUUCGGGUUGUAAACCGCUUUCGCCUGUGACGAAGCGUGAGUGACGGUAAUGGGUAAAGAAGCACCGGCUAACUACGUG
rnacentral:rRNA from 1 species